ensembl:processed_transcript
AAGUGUGAUGAUUGGAGGUGUGCGGGUUCGAGCGCUGUACAACUACACCGGAGAGGAGCCUGAUGAGCUCUCCUUCAAAUCAGGUGAAGAGUUCCUCAAGGUGGAGGACGAGGAUGACCAGGGCUGGUGCUGGGGCGUGAAGGAGGGCGGAGCCGAAGGGUUUUAUCCAGCAAAUUACGUCCUGCCUGUCAAGUGACAUCAUCAAUCACAGCUGAGGCACAACAGUGGUUAUUUACAGUUAUGAGAAGCACACACAGUGGCAGUGAAGAUGUGUCUGAAUGUCAUUGCAUCUCAGAGUGCUGUAAGUGCAUGCUGAAAGAGAAACUACACUUCAUUAACUGCAAAGAAAGUCAUGCAAGACUGAAAGAGUAUUAUGUGAUCAACUGUUUUAUUUACAUCUGAACAUUAUUUUUAUGCAGUGCUCCUCUCAGAAUUAACUUUUCUUCUGACUUUUUCAUCAUAUUGUCAUGUAAGAGUUUACUUUUUUGGCUUGAACGUGUGUUUGUGUUACGUUUUCACUAUUUAUUGUCCAAUUGCAAUGACAUUCAGACAUUUUCACAUAUCAAAAUCUUUUUGGUGGCAAACAAUUUCAGUGCCCAAAAAAUUAAAAAGAUCUAACUAAUAUUUCGAUAGACCAAAAUAAUAAAAAGAGUUGAAAUUCUG